AAACACCCGGUGGGAGAAGCGGCCCGGCCCUCAAGCCUGGACCGCUGCCGAAGGCGCAACGCCCGUAAUCGCUCAGGCCCCAUACCGCCGUGUGUAC
rnacentral:ncRNA from 2 species